AUCCACCUGACUAGUCUCAAAUAGGAUGAAACAUGUGUCGUGAAU
rnacentral:hammerhead_ribozyme from 1 species